AGUGAACGCUGGCGGUAGGCCUAACACAUGCAAGUCGAACGGCAGCACAGGAGAGCUUGCUCUCUGGGUGGCGAGUGGCGGACGGGUGAGGAAUACAUCGGAAUCUACUCUGUCGUGGGGGAUAACGUAGGGAAACUUACGCUAAUACCGCAUACGACCUACGGGUGAAAGCAGGGGAUCUUCGGACCUUGCGCGAUUGAAUGAGCCGAUGUCGGAUUAGCUAGUUGGCGGGGUAAAGGCCCACCGAGGCGACGAUCCGUAGCUGGGUUGAGAGGAUUAGCAACCUAACUAGAACAGAGACUCGGUCCAGACUCCUACGGGAGGCAGCAGUGGGGAAUAUUGGACAAUGGGCGCAAGCCUGAUCCAGCCAUACCACGUGGGUGAAGAAGGCCUUCGGGUUGUAAAGCCCUUUUGUUGGGAAAGAAAUCCAGCUGGCUAAUACCCGGUUGGGAUGACGGUACCCAAAGAAUAAGCACCGGCUAACUUCGUGCCAGCAGCCGCCGUAA
rnacentral:rRNA from 1 species